UCUGAUCAGGAGAUUUUGGAUGUUGUACCUUUGCAAGCCCAGCCAUCAAGUCCAGAAGUCACCCCAGCAGUGCUUCAGAUUCCUAUGGCUCCUGUCAAAAAAAGGGAUGGGAAGACUGUUCUGUAUAAUCCUGCUAGAAAACAAAGCUCUAGGCUUCUUAAUGCCAACCAAGAGCUCAAAUUUGAUCAUCAAAUGGGAAUAGGCAAACCAAGGGGAAAGUCAGCUAAAAAACUGAAGGAGUUGGCAGAUUCUUCCCCUUCUGAUUGUUCUUUAUCUUUGUUGCAAAAGAUGGGGGUGGAUCUAUGUGGCCUGAAUCCUGAGGAUGUGGCUGAAUCAAGCUUAGGGGGAGAAAAAAGGAAGAAGCUUCCCCGGCCAAAUAUGGAUGAUUAG
rnacentral:lncRNA from 1 species